rnacentral:rRNA from 1 species
AGCAGUAGCCGCGGGAAUACGGAGGGGGCUAGCGUUGUUCGGAAUUACUGGGCGUAAAGCGUACGUAGGCGGCUUUGCAAGUCAGAGGUGAAAGCCCGGGGCUCAACCCCGGAUGUGCCUUUGAGACUGUGAGGCUUGAACGUCGGAGAGGUGAGUGGAAUUCCGAGUGUAGAGGUGAAAUUCGUAGAUAUUCGGAAGAACACCAGUGGCGAAGGCGGCUCACUGGACGACUGUUGACGCUGAGGUACGAAAGCGUGGGGAGCAAACAGGAUUAGAUACCCCGGUAGUCCCUGUCUCUUAUAA